UCAUAGGUGGUUUUCACCACCACCUUCUCUUACUGAGGUUUAUCUU
rfam:Phaethon lepturus contig120701, whole genome shotgun sequence.